rnacentral:misc_RNA from 1 species
AAAAAAAAAAAAAAAAAAAUGUAAGUGCAAUUAUUUACCGUUAAGUAAUGGCCAUAACAGCUAUUACAAACAUGGAAAUUUAUUAUUCUUUUCGAAGCAAAUGGAAAUUUAUCUUAGAGUGGGGCAGGAAGCUUAGUUGAAUCUUUUGUUUCUAGUUUCUGGGGGUUCCCUCUUUUGUUUCUCACUUUCUCUCAACUUUCGAUUCUAAAAUUUUGUCCUUUUACAAAUCUUUCACUUCUUAAGUUAAUGAUCAUCAAUUGAUGCAAAUUUAUUUUAAGUGAAGGAGAGCAAUUUACAUCCAUAUUUUGCAAAGGGUGAGUAGUUUAUCUCUGUUUUUGGUUUUGUACUUAUUUGUUGAAGAAAAUGUAGGUUUGUGAUAGGUUGAUGUAUUUAAUGUCUUUAUUGGAUAUAUUUAUGCUUAUUAUUUAGUUGUGUAUCUUAGUUUUACUUGUAUGUUUAUAUAUCUAUUCAUUUUUUGAACUUUGCAAAUUUAAAAAAUUUUUUUGUAACAACAGAUUGUCAUCAUUCUGUUAUGGCCGUUACAGGCUUGUUUCUAUUAUCCAUGACUGCUAUUGCAAUUUAAAUUUGUGUACCAUAUGGGAGGAGUUAGUGAAGAAUUUGAAUGAACUACUGAGAGUUAUGAUUUCUGACCAUAAAUUUGUUGAUUGGAAAUCCUAACUUCCUAAGGCCACUUGUUAUAGGGGGAAAUGAGGAAAAUGUAAAAGACAGGAAUCCUUCAUGCCACUAGUCAAUAGGAUACUAAAAUUCAAUCAUUCAGCCAGACAGGAAUCCUUCAAGCCAAGUUGCAAAAUUCAAGUUUGCAAUGUUGCAACCUAUACGGUUGCAGUUCCUAAAUUUAAAACCAGAUAUAUAGAGUGUUUAAAGCAAUUAAGCAAAUAAUAUUGCAUGAACUUAAUAAUGUUUUGAGUUAGAAAACGCAAUCUUGGGGAAUUAACCAGAACCAGCAGGACCUGGACUGAAAUCUUUGGGUUUGGCUUUGUGCAUUGUGACUUAGAGGUUUAUCUAAUAAUGUGCUGUACAUGAAGUUUAUGUGGGAUAUACACAUAUUAUCAGGUUGAACAUUUUGAGAGUGGUGAUCAUUGGGCCUGUUUGGCAUUGCUAUUGAAACUGUUGUUGAAAAAAUUACUUUUUUAAAUAUACUAGUUAGAUAGU